rnacentral:lncRNA from 1 species
CUUUUAAUGCAAUACAACUCAGAAUUUGAGGGAAGCCUGGGGUAAAUUCUCUGCAAACCCAGACUUCCCUGUUCUGGGAAGAUACAUAGCUCUCUGAAAGAUGCUGAGUAACAAGCAUAAGUUUGAAUUUUUAUAUUGAAUUGGGGAUGCCUACGGCUUUUCCUCAGAGUAGUUCUGCUCAUUCUUAUGCAUGUGGUUCUUCAUUUUAUAUGGUGAGCCUUCGUUUUGUUUUGUGGUCAACAUGUUUCUUUCCUGAAAUGCAGUCUUUUAGGUUGGCAUUUCUAAUAUCAUGCUCAAUAUUCAAUGUGGCAAAUAUUCUAUUCUAGAUUAUGGCCAGAGCAAAUGGAGGGAUAAAUAAAUACAAUUACCACAAGAUGUGUCACACACUAAAAGCAAAACAAAAAGGGUCCUGCCAUCAGAAAGCUCCUGUCCACCUUGGCAGAAAGGAGGUUGUUUGCACCCUGGAAAUACAUCAGAGAUGUUAGUGCAAAAUUACAAACGAGGAAAAGUGGGCUCUUAAAUGCAUUUUCCUUCUCUAUUGGAGUUAGUCUUAAAUUUUAUUUGUUUCUUAUGGGAUGUAUUCAUUUUCUAUGGCUGCCAUAACAAAGUACCACAGACUGAGGAAUUUAAAUAACAGAAAUUAUUUUUCUCACAGUUCUGGGAAUAGAAUUUUGAGAUCAAAGUGUCAGUAGGGUUGGUUUCUUCUGAGGCCUCUCUUCUUGACUUGUAGAUGGCUUCUCCCUGUGUCUUCAUAUGGUCUUCCCUUUGUAACUGUGUGUCUCCAAAUUUCCACUUCUUAUAAACACCAGCCAUACUGAAUUAAGGUCCAGGUAAUUACCUUAUUUUACCUUAAUUACCUCUUUAAAGACCUUGUCUCCA